CGUGCCGGGGUUUGAAUUCCGCACAUCUGACAUGCGAGGCGAGCGUGUUACCACUACUCCACCAGCGC
rnacentral:tRNA from 11 species